rnacentral:rRNA from 1 species
AGUCGACGGAAGUCGUUGUAAUGAAAUGGAAAUGGACAGAGAACUUGUUCGAAGAAAGUUGAAGUAGACUUACAACAAUGGCUUUAGUGGCGGACUGGUGAGUAACGCGUAAGGAACCUGCCUUUUAGAGGGGAAUAACAAUGAGAAAUCAUUGCUAAUACCGCAUAUGCCGAGAGAAUCACAUGGUACAAUCGGGAAAGGAGCAAUUCGCUAAAAGAUGGCCUUGCGUCUGAUUAGAUAGUUGGUGGGGUAACGGCCUACCAAGUCGACGAUCAGUAGCCGGACUGAGAGGUUGAACGGCCACAUUGGGACUGAGAUACGGCCCAGACUCCUACGGGAGGCAGCAGUCGGGAAUAUUGCGCAAUGGAGGAAACUCUGACGCAGUGACGCCGCGUAUAGGAAGAAGGUUUUCGGAUUGUAAACUAUUGUCGUUAGGGAAGAGAAAGGACAGUACCUAAGGAGGAAGCUCCGGCUAACUACGUGCCAGCAGCCGCGGUAAUACGUAGGGAGCGAGCGUUAUCCGGAAUUAUUGGGUGUAAAGGGUGCGUAGACGGGAAGAUAAGUUAGUUGUGAAAUCCCUCGGCUUAACUGAGGAACUGCAACUAAAACUGUUUUUCUUGAGUGCAGGA